AUUGAACGCUGGCGGCAUGCCUUACACAUGCAAGUCGAACGGUAACGCGGGGCAACCUGGCGACGAGUGGCGAACGGGUGAGUAAUGUAUCGGAACGUGCCCAGCUGUGGGGGAUAACUGCUCGAAAGAGCAGCUAAUACCGCAUACGACCCGCGGGUGAAAGCGGGGGAUCGAAAGGCCUCGCGCAAUUGGAGCGGCCGAUAUCAGAUUAGGUAGUUGGUGAGGUAAAGGCUCACCAAGCCGACGAACUGUAGCUGGUCUGAGAGGACGACCAGCCACACUGGGACUGAGACACGGCCCAGACUCCUACGGGAGGCAGCAGUGGGGAAUUUUGGACAAUGGACGCAAGUCUGAUCCAGCCAUGCCGCGUGCGGGAAGAAGGCCUUCGGGUUGUAAACCGCUUUUGUCAGGGAAGAAACGCUCUGGGUUAAUACCUCGGGGUAAUGACGGUACCUGAAGAAUAAGCACCGGCUAACUACGUGCCAGCCGCCGCCGUAA
rnacentral:rRNA from 1 species